rnacentral:rRNA from 1 species
UACGUAGGGUGCAAGCGUUAAUCGGAAUUACUGGGCGUAAAGCGUGCGCAGGCGGUGAUGUAAGACAGAUGUGAAAUCCCCGGGCUCAACCUGGGAACUGCAUUUGUGACUGCAUCGCUGGAGUACGGCAGAGGGGGAUGGAAUUCCGCGUGUAGCAGUGAAAUGCGUAGAUAUGCGGAGGAACACCGAUGGCGAAGGCAAUCCCCUGGGCCUGUACUGACGCUCACGCACGAAAGCGUGGGGAGCAAACAGG